rnacentral:rRNA from 1 species
UACGAAGGGGGGCUAGCGUUGCUCGGAAUCACUGGGCGUAAAGCGCACGUAGGCGGCUUUCUAAGUCAGGGGUGAAAUCCCGAGGCUCAACCUCGGAACUGCCUUUGAUACUGGGGAUCUCGAGUCCGGGAGAGGUGAGUGGAACUGCGGAGUGUAGAGGUGAAAUUCGUAGAUAUUCGCAAGAACACCAGUGGCGAAGGCGGCUCACUGGCCCGGAACU